ACGGUUUCUAGAGACGUUUCCUGAGAUCACACAAGUCCGGGGACUCCUGUCCACUUGGCCAUUGGCUGACCUGUCCCCACCUUUCAUUCCCCAUCAAUCCUGGAAGGAGAACGCGCAUUUCUUCUAAGAGAACAAAGGAUUCCUCCCCAGAUUUCUUCUUUCCUAAUUAGCAAUGUGUAAAGUUCAACAAGAAAAUCCCUACGGGACCGCCUCGAGCUUGGAAAAAUGGCAAGGGACAAAGAGAAGCAGGGCUUCCACAGAAAUCCUAGCCUGAAACCCGUGCCUAAGGCGCUUUGCCUCUGCCAGCCGCAAUCACGUACUUCACAGCACAUCUGAGUGUUCUAAUUAAAGCAUGGAAUGCAGAAAACCACCCCAAACUCCAGCUAGUGAUUUAAUCUCAUCUGAAAUUCUACAGUUUCUGGUUCAGCUUUGACCUCUCUUCACCGCUGAGGAAGAGUGGAGGUGCUGCCCUACCUGGAGGAAAGUAUGAAGAUGCCAGGUGUAAGCUUCAUGAGCUAUAUAGGGCAGAUUUUUCAGCCAGUCUGUGAGAGUGUCUGUUUUUUUAGUAAGAAAUUUCAAGCAUCAUUUUUGAUAACUACAUCUGGUGAAUGGUCACUUCGUAAAACUGAAGGUCUUCCACUCAAAAGAAAGAAAUCAAAAAGAAGGAGGCAUCUAGGAAGAAGCCAUAUUUCAUAACAGCUAUUUGUAUAGAAUAAGAAAUAUUUAUAUCAAAAUAAUUAAAAGAACCUGUGCCUUCU
rnacentral:lncRNA from 1 species